rnacentral:lncRNA from 1 species
CUAGCCUCCAAGACAGCCCCGCCGCCAGAACAGCCUCUCCUCCAGGACCGGCCAGCCUACGAGAGAGCCCCGCCUACGGUACAACCCGCCUCCGGGACCGCAGGACUCCACCUCCGAGACAGCUCAGUCCCCAGGACAGUCCCGCCUCCGAGACGGCCCCGCCUCCAGGACGGCCCCUACCUCCGAGACCGCCCCGCCUCCGGGACCGCCCCGCCCCGCCUCGCCUCCGACACGUCCCCCGGGCGCCACUGCAGAGCCUGUCCGUCAGUCCCUAGGUAUCCGCACUGCUCAGGGGAGGAUUCCCUGGGAGCACCCACCAGCUGAGAUCUGCACAUCAGCCACAAUCCUCUCAGGACGGCGGAAAGGGAAGGGCUCAGCCGCCAGCCUGGCCACAGCCUGCAUCAUCUCAUCCCAGAGGCGGAGCACAGGCUCGGGGUCCUUCAGGGCCUGAAGGAGGUAGAGCCCGGUACUCACCCAGCAAUCAUUGUUGCCUGACAAAAGUCACAGAGAAGGCUCAGUUCUUCCUUCCUAUGUAAAGGAACGGAAUGUUUAGUCUGAAAGCUUAGAAGGAAGAUGAGGUGCAGCAUGAAGACAAAAGCAAAAUCGGAAAGCUAAAACAGUAAGAAAGGAG